GCAUAUCAAUAAGCGGAGGAAAAGAAACUAACAAGGACUCCCUUAGUAACGGCGAGUGAAGCGGGAACAGCUCAAGCUUGAAAUCGACACUUGGUAAACAUAUGUCGAGUUGUAGCUUUUGGAAGCAGUUUCAAGCUACUGGUUGCGGUAAAAGUUCUUUUGAAUAAGACAUCAAAGAGGGUGAGAAUCCCGUCAUUGACCGUGAUUUAAGUGGUGAUGCGAACUGUUUUCUGUGAGUCGGGUUGUUUGGGAAUGCAGCCCUAAUUGGGAGGUAAAUUUCUUCCAAAGCUAAAUAUUAGUAAGAGACCGAUAGCAAACAAGUACCGUGAGGGAAAGAUGAAAAGCACUUUGAAAAGAGAGUGAAAAGUACGUGAAAUUGUUAAAAGGGAACCGGUUGGUAGCCAAGCAUUUCUUGGUGUUAGGGCAUUUAUGUCAGAGCGCCAGGAGGGUCAACAUCGAUUACUGUUAACUGCCAGAAAGGAAAUUUUGCAUUCUAGCGGAGGAAGGUAGGGGGGCGAGUUUCUGUUUCAUUUAUGGAGCAGUAUUAUGGCUUGCUUUCUGCUAUAGCCUCCAUGAGUUUGCUUUUUAUACGCCUAGUGGUGGUGGUGAUCGAGGACUGCAGCGCGUUUUGAGAAGUUUUACUUCUUAAUGGCUUGAUUGUUUUAAAGCAUUGUAGUUGCGUUAUGGUAGACAGCAUGCUGACUGCUAUGSGUAGGCUAUAUGAUUUAGGGCAUUUAAGACUAAUCAGCGCUUUGGAUGUUGGCGAAAAGGCACUAAUCGACCCGUCUUGAAACACGGACC
rnacentral:rRNA from 1 species